GCGGGGGUCGCCGGGCCGCAGGCGCCGCGCUGAUUGGCUGCGCCGCGGGCGGAAGUGAUGCUGCUGUCACUGCUCCUCCGGCUCCCGGGAAGCCGCGAGUUUCCGCAGGGAGGCGGCGGCAGCUGCGGCCGGGCCGGUCUGUAGCCUUUGCUGAGUCAACACUACUCACAGUGAAAGUGAUGCCUUUUCUCCAUUUGCACAACAUGAGUGUGACGUGGUUAGCCGGACCAGGAGCUCAACCUCAUGUAGAAUCCAGUCCACUGCUCUGAUGCCGAAAGGGAGGCAGAAAGUGCCACACUUGGAUGCCCCCCUGGGCCUGCCCACCUGCCUCUGGCUGGAAUUAGCCGGGCUCUUCUUACUGGUUCCCUGGGUCAUGGGCCUGGCAGGGACAGGUGGGCCUGAUGGCCAGGGCCCAGGGGGGCCGAGCUGGGCUGUGCACCUGGAAAGCCUGGAAGGUGACGGGGAGGAAGAGACUCUGGAGCAGCAGGCGGAUGCUUUGGCCCAGGCAGCAGGGCUGGUGAAUGCUGGACGCAUUGGAGAGCUUCAGGGGCACUACCUCUUUGUCCAGCCUGCUGGGCACAGGCCGGCCCUGGAGGUGGAGGCCAUCCGGCAGCAGGUGGAGGCUGUGUUGGCUGGGCAUGAAGCUGUGCGCUGGCACUCAGAGCAGAGGCUGCUAAGGAGGGCCAAGCGCAGCGUCCACUUCAAUGACCCCAAGUACCCGCAGCAAUGGCACCUGAAUAACCGACGGAGCCCGGGCAGGGACAUCAACGUGACGGGUGUGUGGGAACGCAAUGUGACUGGGCGAGGGGUGACGGUGGUGGUAGUGGAUGACGGAGUGGAACACACCAUCCAGGACAUUGCACCCAACUAUAGCCCUGAGGGUAGCUAUGACCUCAACUCUAAUGACCCUGACCCCAUGCCCCACCCGGAUGUGGAGAAUGGCAACCACCAUGGCACGCGAUGUGCAGGAGAGAUCGCGGCUGUGCCCAACAACAGCUUCUGUGCCGUGGGCGUGGCCUACGGGAGCCGCAUCGCAGGUAUCCGGGUACUGGAUGGACCUCUCACAGACAGCAUGGAGGCAGUGGCGUUCAACAAGCACUAUCAGAUCAAUGACAUCUACAGCUGCAGCUGGGGACCAGAUGACGAUGGGAAGACAGUGGAUGGCCCCCAUCAGCUUGGAAAGGCUGCCUUACAACAUGGGGUGAUUGCUGGUCGCCAGGGCUUUGGGAGCAUCUUUGUGGUAGCCAGUGGCAACGGAGGCCAACACAACGACAACUGCAACUACGAUGGCUACGCCAACUCCAUCUACACAGUCACCAUAGGAGCUGUGGAUGAGGAGGGACGCAUGCCUUUCUAUGCAGAAGAAUGUGCCUCCAUGCUGGCAGUCACCUUCAGUGGUGGGGACAAGAUGCUUCGGAGCAUUGUGACCACUGACUGGGACCUUCAGAAGGGCACUGGCUGCACUGAGGGCCACACAGGGACCUCAGCUGCAGCGCCUCUGGCAGCUGGCAUGAUAGCCUUAAUGCUGCAGGUGCGGCCCUGCCUCACAUGGCGUGACGUCCAGCACAUCAUUGUCUUCACAGCCACCCGGUAUGAGGAUCGCCGUGCAGAGUGGGUCACCAACGAGGCAGGCUUCAGCCAUAGCCACCAGCACGGUUUCGGCCUCCUCAACGCCUGGAGGCUCGUGAAUGCAGCCAAGAUCUGGACAUCUGUCCCUUACUUAGCAUCCUACGUCAGUCCCGUGUUAAAAGAAAACAAGGCGAUUCCGCAGUCCCCCCAUUCCCUGGAGGUCCUGUGGAAUGUCAGCAGGAUGGACCUGGAGAUGUCAGGGCUGAAGACCCUGGAGCAUGUGGCAGUGACAGUCUCCAUCACUCACCCACGGCGCGGCAGCUUGGAGCUGAAGCUGUUCUGCCCCAGCGGCAUGAUGUCCCUCAUCGGCGCCCCCCGCAGCAUGGACUCGGAUCCCAACGGCUUCAAUGACUGGACCUUCUCCACUGUGCGAUGCUGGGGGGAGAGAGCCCGAGGGACCUACAGGCUUGUCAUCAGGGAUGUUGGGGAUGAGUCAUUCCAGGUCGGCAUCCUCCGGCAAUGGCAGCUGACCCUAUAUGGCUCUGUGUGGAGUCCAGUAGACAUCAGGGACAGACAAAGGCUGUUAGAGAGUGCCAUGAGUGGAAAAUACCUGCACGAUGACUUCGCCCUGCCCUGCCCACCGGGGCUGAAAAUUCCUGAGGAAGAUGGUUACACCAUCACCCCCAACACCCUCAAGGGUGCUGUGCCUUCUCUCCAGUGUUUGUCUGAAGAGACUUCCAAAAGAGGUACCAAAGGAAGCCGAACCCAUCCCCUGGCCUCAGAGGGGUCAGAGGUUGGGAGGGACACACUGGUCUGAGGAUGGACGCAGGAGCGCGCUCCCCCGGCUCCCUCUCUGGUGAGACCCCUCCCCACUGGCACCCCACCCGCGGGAAGCAGAGCGAACACUAUCACACCCCACUGGUCCCAGGCCAGCUGCCCAGCCCGAUGCCCUGCCCUUCCUUUCUCAGGGAUGACAGGCUUUCUGGGCUGGAGUUCCUCAUCUGUGAAGUGGGGGUUAUGUUACCAACCUCAGAGGGCUGUGAAAAUGGGACGGUGUCUGUGAACUCCCUCACAUACUGCCUGGCCCUUAGCAGAGCUCCUCGAAAUGUCAGUUCUUUGCUGCCCAGAGCCAGGCUCCUGGUAAUGACCAGGGAGAGAGCCUGCCCUUGACCAAGGAGUGAAAAACUGACCUCAAAAUGUCAGUUCUUUGCUGCCCGCUCCAGCCUCCACACCCUUCUCACAAUCAUUCCCUGAGUGCGCAGCAGCUCACACGGAACAGAGUUCACACGGACUCAUCGAAGUGCCCGUCAUUGGGCAUCCCUCUCCUCCUUGCGUCUGUUUCCUUAUGUGUAAAGUGGGGGCGGGACCACCUCUGAGGACCCAGUUCUCUGAGCACUGGGGAUGAGGUGGGCUCCUGGCCCAGCCACCCCUCUCCCUGCCAGUGAUGCCAGAGACCCCAAAGGCAGAGUGCUCUGUUCUGCUGUUCAGCUACAAACAGCCAAUCCCUCCCUUCACCCUGUGUGUCCCACCCCCGCUCCCCAACCACCCAAGGACUCCUGCACAAAGAACUGUGGUCCAAACCCCCAAGUCAGCUGGGACCAGGUGAUUUUGGUAGCCCUGCAUCCUGGCCUCCAUCCACCCCAGCCUCUGUCUCAGCCUUUGCACCACCAUCCCAGACAGGCAUCCACCUUCUGUCCCUGGCCCUGCUUCUACCCCCACUCCACCUGCCCUCAUGCCUGCCUUCCCCUUCUGCACCCCUGCUGGGCUCCUGAGGAACAGGAUGGAAGGAGAGUGUGUCCCCUACCCCCAGCUUCCAGUCUCAGGAGGGUCAGAACAGACAAUACAGGUCAAAGCAGCAAGGCUAAGGGUGACAGGUACACAACGCUGCAGCCCCCAGAUCUAGAGACAAGAUUAGGAUUUCGGUCAGAGGGGGAUGAAGCACACACCAUCCCCACUCCCACCCAGCACCACCAUCCUUCCCCUUCCACCUCCUGGGUCAGGGUCGAAAAGUGGAGAAUGCCCAGAAAUCCUUUAGAGUCCUCCGAUGAAGCCUCCCCAGUCCUGCCUUCGAGCCAGUGGGGAGGGGGAGAGGAGGAUGAUUACAGGGCGCCCCCCCCCAGGGGCAUCUCAAGACACUCCCAGGACAGCAUGGACAGGCGUGGACCCUCCUGCCCUGUGGCUCCUGUGAGGACCCCUCCCCUGAGCUGCCCAGUGGGUGAAAGUGGGCAGUGGAGAAAGUAAGUCCAGGGGCAAAUGGGAAGGUGGCACCCCCUACCAGCAGAAGCCCAGAAACACGAGCAGAGCCAGGGGCCCCUGCAGGGCUGCUGUGCCCCUUCUCUCUUCCCAAAUAGGAGUGAGCACACCUGGACCUCUGAGAGGGCAGGAGGGUGGCUCCUCUCCACUCCACGGACAAACAGGAGUGGCCCGGCUACAUAAAUGUGUGCCAUCCUCACUGCUACCUUUGGAAUAGCAACUUCGAAAGGGAACCACCCUUUGGGAAAGACCAAGGGUCCCAGGCCUGCCCCGCCUAUCACUCCAAAGCUCCUCCUUGGCAGUACCCGCCCCCCACCCCUCUGCUACAGUGGGGGUGACCUCCCACUGUCAGACAGUGGAAGGGGCUGCUUGUCAGAAGGACAGGCCUUCCGUCUCCACUCUUUGCCCCAGACUGUGGAAUACAAGAGUUCUGCGGCCCUUCACAUUGUCACAGGGCUAUCGCUGCUGCUCAGGCCCUGGGGACCCGCCAGAGUGGGACACCGUGCUCCAACACAGGUGCGUUCACACACUCCUCACCUCCUUGGAGGUUCUCCUGGAGGGGCAACAGACAGUAGAGCCUUGGCCUAACCGGCCGGCGCCUGCACCCUUACACACACCUUGUGGAUGCGGCUGGCUGAGAUGGGGAGCCUCCCUCUCACCCCGGUGGUUUCCACCAUCAAUUCCUCUGCACUAGCCAAGUCAUCCGGGGCAUUUCAAUGAGCCCCGGGGCUGCCCAGUCUGAGAGAGAUCCAGGACGCUAGUGAUCCAGCCCACCCUGCCUGGAGCUUGGGCCCCCAUGCUGACUGAGAGGGUGGGUUUCCCUAGCCAGGGAGCUGGAGCUGGCGCCUGGGACCUCAGGAGAGCCUGCCUGAAAUGCACCCACUGCUCCUGUCCAGCUCCAGCCCAACUUCCCUCCAAGCCCCAGCCAAUGCACUCACAAGGCUUCCUCAGGGCUCGCAGGAAGGAGUGAAGACUUGUGUCUGGGUUCGGACAGACAGGAUGGGGCGCUGGCUGGGUGAGGGGUUUAAAGGGCUGCCGCCGUGGUGAUGUCAGCCUCCCCCGCUGGCUCGCUCCUCGGCCCCCUCCCUGCUAGAGGAAGCCGGCUCCGCUCCCCACCCCCGGCUCCCCCAGUGACUCCACACAGGCUCCAUAUUUGGGGAAAGACACCAAGUUGGAGCAGUCUACCGGGGCUGCCGAGACAUUCUCUGCAUGCUUUGGAGAUGGAGCGGGCCGGGGCGGGGCACGCUGCCGGCGGGGAGCCGGCCCGGGAAAAGCCUUUUAUGGACAGGACCCUGCCCGGACUUACGGCUGCUCCUACUUCACUGUUCUCUGGCCCCGAGUUUGAGAAGAGGGGGAGUUCAAUAGAGUCUGGCUGGAGAGAGGGGCAAGGGGCUGGGGAGCUGGGAAUCCCAGGGGUUUGCGGGGACAAACCAGCCACCCUCUCCUCCUGGGGCUUUUAGCUCUGAUGGGACAUGGGAUCCAACCUUUCCUGAGGACCUACUCCACACCAGGCCCUUUGCAGUGCUCUCAUGGAAUACUCACAGCUACAGUGUGAGGGUGUAAUUACAUCCCCAUUUUAUAGAUAGGAAACUGAGGCCCCAAGUGCGUCUUCCUCAAGGCCACACGGUGAAUGGUAAGUGGCAGAUCCUGCACACCUCUGCCAACCCCCAUGGGUGCAGGAGAGGUGGUCAGACCCACCCUUUCAAUUGGACCACCCUGCUCAGGUUGAGAAGAGCUUUCAGUGCAGGUAGGUCUUGAGUUAUAUGCUUUAGUUGGGGCUGGGAUUUGAGGGUUCGGCAGAAGCUGAGUCCAACUCCGGUCCCCAUCCAGUGGGCAGUGUCAAUAAGAGGGUCUCUAAGGCCUGGCAGGGCCUGAGACACUAACGCAGGAGAAGGAGGCUCAGGAGGCUGGUAUCAUCCCUUCCUCCCUUUAGGAACAGUCCCUACCAGCCUGGAAAACAGACCAGCCUCUGUCACUCCAGAGAUAACCCACUCUCAUCUUGCUCGUACCUGGCUUCAGGGAUGUUGGGGAGAGAGAAGAGGUUAAAAAAGGGACAUAUCAAAACUCCCUCCUCUUGGAGCCUGGCCAGCUUUCAUCACCUUCCUGCCUCGGCCUGCACGCUGAGUGGAUUAUAAACGCCCCAUCAGGGAGCACUGCGUGGGCCUGUGGCCUGAAAACGGAAAUGCAACCAUAGCAUGGAGACGCUCUGAGAAAAGAUCCAGACCCACCUCAUCUCCCAGCCCUUCAAGCAGAGCUAUAAAAACAAGUUUGGGAGAAAAACACAUUCCCAUCCCCAAAGCAGAGGCCCCGCCUGAGCUCCCCCAUCCUCAGCAUCUGGGGUGGACCAGGUAUGUGUGUGCAUGACUAACACAGAACUUGGCUGAAGACUGGACGGAAACUUAGAAGCCAGCCCUGGGUCCUAGAGCGAGGCUAGGACUGGGCACGUAGAGGGAAACAGCACAUCCCUUCCUGAAGCCCCUUUCUAAGAGGGACAAAUGGAGAGCCAAAGGACAGGGGCCCAUGGAAGUCCCCAACACUGAGAAGAAAGCAGCAAUUUGGCCAACAUCUGGGGGUUCCAGGGGAGCAGGCCUCCUCCUCGGCAGAGGGCAGCUGCAAGGUUCCAUGCCACCCCAUGGCUGUCCCAGGCCAAGCCUAAGCUAGACCUGGCUGUCCUGCUGCCAUCCAGUGCUGGGCAGCGGUGCUGGGACUCAUCCCCACAGCACGACAGAGUGACCGGUCUAUGACACAAAGGAGCUCAGGGCCCCUUGAGGUGAAGCGAAGAGCCCAGCUCCUGCUAGAAGACAUAGAUCUUGUCCCGCUGCACAGUAUCCAGGUCAUCAUCCAGUGUCAGCAACACCUGGGGGGUGGACGCCAGAUCAGCCACAGAGAAGGAGGCAGCUGCUACCUUCACGUACCUACCCGGCUCGGCCGGGAGACCUGCUUACCAGGAAGGACCCGAACAUGGCGAUGGAGGAGAGGAAGUGCCAGAUGUCGUGGUCGUCAAAGAAGUCGAGGAGGAUGCAGUCCCGGUUGUGCUCCCUCGACUCCGCAGGGGUUUUCUUGGGGAGCAACAAGAAAAACUGCCGAAUGACCCUGCUCUGGCAGGGCAAGGGCCAGACCCAUCUGCCAUCUUGCUCCUGGGCACCCCUCUCUCCAGCCCCAGGCAGGACAGCAGCAAUUCUGACCAGUCCCUUGUCCUUGUCCCCACCCCUUCCCGAUCUAAGAAAUGGCCUUUGGUUACAAACUUC